rnacentral:rRNA from 1 species
UGCUGCUUCGCUGACGAGUGGCGGAUGGGUGAGUAAUGUCUGGGAAACUGCCUGAUGGAGGGGGAUAACUACUGGAAACGGUGGCUAAUACCGCAUAACGUCGCAAGACCAAAGAGGGGGACCUUCGGGCCUCUUGCCAUCAGAUGUGCCCAGAUGGGAUUAGCUUGUUGGUGAGGUAACGGCUCACCAAGGCGACGAUCCCUAGCUGGUCUGAGAGGAUGACCAGCCACACUGGAACUGAGACACGGUCCAGACUCCUACGGGAGGCAGCAGUGGGGAAUAUUGCACAAUGGGCGCAAGCCUGAUGCAGCCAUGCCGCGUGUAUGAAGAAGGCCUUCGGGUUGUAAAGUACUUUCAGCGGGGAGGAAGGUGUUGUGGUUAAUAACCGCAGCAAUUGACGUUACCCGCAGAAGAAGCACCGGCUAACUCCGUGCCAGCAGCCGCGGUAAUACGGAGGGUGCAAGCGUUAAUCGGAAUUACUGGGCGUAAAGCGCACGCAGGCGGUCUGUCAAGUCGGAUGUGAAAUCCCCGGGCUCAACCUGGGAACUGCAUUCGAAACUGGCAGGCUUGAGUCUUGUAGAGGGGGGUAGAAUUCCAGGUGUAGCGGUGAAAUGCGUAGAGAUCUGGAGGAAUACCGGUGGCGAAGGCGGCCCCCUGGACAAAGACUGACGCUCAGGUGCGAAAGCGUGGGGAGCAAACAGGAUUAGAUACCCUG